rnacentral:sRNA from 1 species
GAUAUAUCCACAGGCUUUGCUUUGAGAAGGAACUGAGUGGGCAGUGAGAAGAGUCGAGUGAAGCCUGGCCCGUGAGUGCCUCAACAACUGAGAUGAACGUCGACUCGCUUGCAGGCAAGUUGUCACUCAGCAGCGAUCUGAACUAUAUCCUGGGUUCCAGAAAAGGCAGAGGUUCUUACCGAAAGCAGGGGAGGAAGCUGCGGCCCAAGGAGGUCGUCACUUGCCGGGAAGGUGGCUCGGGCCAGGCUGCACUCAAAACCCGUGCUCUGUCCACACUGCUGCGGGGCCAGAGCCAAGGAAGCUUCCACUUCUUCCCCCAGACAGCCCCAACAGCGGCUACCCCAAGGAGCCAGCAGCCUUGUGUCCUGGGAUCCCCAGCCCCUGCAGAAUGACCCACCAGGAUCUGAGGUGAGCUCGGCUGGGGCAGCCUGAGGCCCUGGGCCCUGGGCCCUGGGCCUGGCGGAGAGUCGCUGUGGUGAUAGCACAUCCAGGUUUCUGAAGAACAAGCUGAGUCCUAGGGAAGAGCAAGACCCCUGUCCCCCAUAUAACAUAUACACUACAUCUACUGCGGCAAAUACGUACACACAAGCAUCUGUGCACAUAUAUGUUAUUGUUCAACAUAGUUUAAUUGUUUGGGUUCAUCUUCUCUAACUACAAAAUUAAGUUCACAGUUCUCUUUAUCGUCCCAAGUUUCUUCCUUUGUGAAAGGCCCACUAUCAUCUACUCUUACCACUUCCAGGUAAAUCCAUCUCCAAAUAUUUUGUUCACAGUCUGCCUCCCGCCUGAAAGAUAAGAAAAGUUUAGUGGGUUCCAAGGAGUCUGAGAAAGCUUUGUUUUCUAUAUCCCGUCUUCCAAAGCUCCUAUACCCAGCAGGGUGGGGGGCCAUGUUAUCUAAACUGUGGCUUUACUUUUGGCUGGAACUAGGUCACCUCAAGGGCUGACCGACUUGAAGCCUUCACUGUGGGAAGUGCCUGUUCUCUUAUUAUGAACAAUAGCUGGCAUUCCCCCCCAGGCACGGUUUCCAUAGUCCUCAGCAACCCUGGAGUGAGUUCGACGGGAAUGCAGGCCCAGAGAGGAGAGGUCACAGUCAGGAUGCAAACUCAGUUCUGCCUGACCUUCAGUCCCUUUGUGUGAGAACUGCACACGUGGCUCCAGGCCUGCGGAGGAGCCAGAGGACGGGCCGGGGAAGCUUGGGGCAGAGCGGUGCCCUGGUGGCGGCCCAUGGGGGCAGAGCUGGGCUCCUCCCAGAAGCCCCUGCAGGUCCCAGCUCCAGGGACUUCCCGGGUUGCAGCAAGAUGCCUCACCCGGGUGAGUGCGGCUGUCCUGUCUGGACCAGACCUGGGCCAGGGAGGCUGAAGAGGGUCUCUGGACACCUGUGGGGCUGGGGUUCCCCACUGUCUGUGCCCCUGCCCAUUCCUGGCUGCAUCCGGUCCCUAACCUGCUCCUCCCUCUGCCUCUCUCCUCCCCCUGUCCUCCCCCUGUCCUAGCAUCACAGCCAAACUCAUCAAUGGAGGUGUAGCAGGGCUCGUGGGGGUGACCUGCGUGUUCCCCAUCGACUUGGCCAAGACUCGCCUGCAGAACCAGCAUGGGAAAGCCAUGUACAAAGGAAUGAUCGACUGCCUGAUGAAGACGGCUCGGGCGGAGGGCUUCUUCGGCAUGUACCGAGGUGGGCUUCUCAGGUCCCCUGGGAGGCUGGGCAGCAGGUGUGAGCGUAUAGGACAUGGGGAACUGGUGUUCCUUCCGUUGCUGCGGGGAUGGGGCCAGGGCUGCCAGGGGGUCCUUCCUGAUGAGCCUCUGUGCUCUUGGGUGGAGACAGAGGCAGCUCUGGGUCCUGGUAAGGCUUCCGGAGACCCACAGAGCACACCCCCCGCCACCGCCUCAGUAAGAGCAGGCGAGCCCUCCCUACCUGCCUGCCUGUCUCUGCCUGGCUAGAAGCGAAGAGAGAGAGGCUGAAAGGGACUGAGCGACGGGGCCUGAGCUCCCGGCAAGGAGUUCUGGGUGGCUCCUCCCCAGCUCGGUCCAGCGUUGCUGCGGUCCCUGCGGGGUCCCCAGCCAGGAGGUACCUUGGACAAUGGAUCCCAAGCUGGAGUUGAGCCGGAGCUCGUAUGCUUGUGCCGCCGAGAAGCAAAACACAAGCCCUAGACAGCCCCGAGCUAGCAGCCAAUGGGACUGGCUUGUGCGGCACAGAGGAGCGGAACCCCAGUCCCUGCGCCUGGCGCCUGUCACUGGAACUGCUGUUUUAUCAUCAGCGACCCCACCAGCAGCAACAAAAAUAAAAUGGCUUCCUGAUAACCAAACUGAGGAGUCCGUAAGAAAAAAAUACGUAAAAAGGGGAGAAUGUGGGGCUGGGCGCGGUGGCUCACGCCUGUAAUCCCAGCACUUUGGGAGGCCGAGGCGGGCGGAUCACGAGGUCAGGAGAUCGAGACCAUCCUGGCUAACACGGUGAAACCCCGUCUCUACU